UGGGGAAUAUUGGACAAUGGGGGCAACCCUGAUCCAGCCAUGCCGCGUGAGCGAUGAAGGCCUUAGGGUUGUAAAGCUCUUUCACCGGUGACGAUGAUGACGGUAGCCGGAGAAGAAGCCCCGGCUAACUCCGUGCCAGCAGCCGCGGUAAUACGGAGGGGGCAAGCGUUGUUCGGAAUUACUGGGCGUAAAGGGCGCGCAGGCGGUCUGUUGCGUUAGGCGUGAAAGCCCUGGGCUCAACCCGGGAACUGCGCUUGAUACGGGCAGGCUUGAAGGCGGCAGAGGGUGGUGGAAUUCCCAGUGUAGAGGUGAAAUUCGUAGAUAUUGGGAAGAACACCAGUGGCGAAGGCGACUCACUGGACAGUUAUUGACGCUGAGGUGCGAAAGCGUGGGGAGCAAACAGGAUUAGAUACCCGCGUAGUCC
rnacentral:rRNA from 1 species